rnacentral:rRNA from 1 species
AACGAACGCUGGCGGCAUGCCUAACACAUGCAAGUCGAACGAGACCUUCGGGUCUAGUGGCGCACGGGUGCGUAACGCGUGGGAACCUGCCCUUAGGUUCGGAAUAACUCCCCGAAAGGGGUGCUAAUACCGGAUAAUGUCUUCGGACCAAAGAUUUAUCGCCUUUGGAUGGGCCCGCGUUGGAUUAGCUAGUUGGUAGGGUAAAAGCCUACCAAGGCGACGAUCCAUAGCUGGUCUGAGAGGAUGAUCAGCCACGCUGGGACUGAGACACGGCCCAGACUCCUACGGGAGGCAGCAGUGGGGGAUAUUGGACAAUGGGCGAAAGCCUGAUCCAGCAAUGCCGCGUGAGUGAUGAAGGCCUUAGGGUUGUAAAGCUCUUUUACCCGGGAUGAUAAUGACAGUACCGGGAGAAUAAGCUCCGGCUAACUCCGUG